CCCUUAGAUGUUCUGGGCCGCACGCGCGCUACACUGAUGCAUUCAACGAGUCUAAAACCUGGUCUGAUAGGGCUGGGUAAUCUUUUGAAAGUGCAUCGUGAUUGGGAUAGAUGAUUGCAAUUCUUCAUCUUCAACGAGGAAUGCCUAGUAAACGCAAGUCAUCAGCUUGCAUUGAUUACGUCCCUGCCCUAUGUACACACCGCCCGUCGCUCCUACCGAUUGAAUGAUCCGAUGAAUACCAUGGAUUGAGAGUACGAAUGGGUUCGCUCAUUUCUGCUGCUCGAGAAGUGGAGUAAAUCUUAUCAUUUAGAGGAAGGAGAAGUCGUAACA
rnacentral:rRNA from 1 species